AAAUUGAAGAGUUUGAUCAUGGCUCAGAUUGAACGCUGGCGGCAGGCCUAACACAUGCAAGUCGAACGGUAACAGGAAGCAGCUUGCUGCUUUGCUGACGAGUGGCGGACGGGUGAGUAAUGUCUGGGAAACUGCCUGAUGGAGGGGGAUAACUACUGGAAACGGUAGCUAAUACCGCAUAACAUCGCAAGACCAAAGAGGGGGACCUUCGGGCCUCUUGCCAUCGGAUGUGCCCAGAUGGGAUUAGCUAGUAGGUGGGGUAA
rnacentral:rRNA from 1 species